UCAGAAGUGCGCCAUUCCUCUGGGUUCCGAUAACGAGGACGAGCGUACGAACUUCGUGGUAGAUUGGGUACGCCGGAUGAGCGGUAGUCGGGUCUGUGGACUUAGAAAAGUUAC
rnacentral:lncRNA from 1 species